CGGACGGGUGAGUAACGCGUGGGUAACCUGCCGUAUGCAGGGGGAUAACACUUAGAAAUAGGUGCUAACACCGCAUAAGCGCACGAGAGCGCAUGCUUUUGUGUGAAAAACUCCGGUGGCAUACGAUGGACCCGCGUCUGAUUAGCCAGUUGGCAGGGUAACGGCCUACCAAAGCGACGAUCAGUAGCCGGCCUGAGAGGGCGGACGGCCACAUUGGGACUGAGACACGGCCCAAACUCCUACGGAAGGCAGCAG
rnacentral:rRNA from 1 species